rnacentral:rRNA from 1 species
UACGUAGGGUGCAAGCGUUAAUCGGAAUUACUGGGCGUAAAGCGUGCGCAGGCGGUUUUGUAAGUCUGACGUGAAAUCCCCGGGCUCAACCUGGGAAUUGCGUUGGAGACUGCAAGGCUGGAGUCUGGCAGAGGGGGGUAGAAUUCCACGUGUAGCAGUGAAAUGCGUAGAGAUGUGGAGGAACACCGAUGGCGAAGGCAGCCCCCUGGGCUAGCACUGACGCUCAGGCACAAAAGCGUGGGGAGCAAACAGG